GUCAUCACUGACUACUCCAUAUUGCUCUGACGGACUCAUCUGAUGCCAAUGUAUUGCUUUGCCUUAUCAUCUUAUGGUCCUGAGACUUCUCAACCUCUGCUUCCAUCACCUCUCCUGAGGAAGGGGUCCUGAAGAGAAAACUAGAGUAGAUUUAAUUCCAAGUCAUCCAAAGAAAAAGUUCCUGACAAAAUAAUCAGGCCUGCCAUUUUGCAUACUAGCCAUCACCAAAGAGCAUGACAAGAUGGUCACCUGAAGAACAUUCUCUGUGACAAAAACAAUCGGACACUCUGUUCUAUGGUGGCCUCCUAAACGAACUCUAGUGGACCACACUCUAUUUGCAUCGUCACUUUGAAGGACACUCCAACCCCACUGCUCACCAUGACAACUGGCAACAAUUCUGCAGAUGGGAAAUGAGAAAACACAGACGGCAUCCAAAUUUCUGAACCAAAAGACAAGGGUGACAAGAAUUCUUUGCCCUCAACUCACUUGGAAAGCUGGAGGUAGACAAGUAUAGCCCCAUCCCCAGAAAAAAUAAAAAUAAAAAGAAGAAAA